rnacentral:rRNA from 1 species
UACAGAGGGUGCGAGCGUUGUCCGGAAUCACUGGGCGUAAAGGGCGCGUAGGUGGCUUGCCAAGCGUGUGGUGAAAGCCCGGAGCUCAACUCCGGGUCUGCCAUGCGAACUGGCAGGCUUGAGCACGGUAGAGGCCAAUGGAAUUCCGGGUGUAGCGGUGGAAUGCGUAGAGAUCCGGAAGAACACCGGUGGCGAAGGCGGCCCACUGGCUCGAUACUGACGCUGAGGUGCGAAAGCGUGGGGAGCAAACAGG